UUAUGGCCAUAUCACAUUGAAGCACCGGUUCCCGUAUUAUCAAUGAAGUUAAGCAAUGUUGAACAUGGUCAGUACCUAGAUGGAUGACAAGUUGGGAAUACCAGGUGCUGUAAG